CUGAAAUGAUGAUUUUGUGAUUACCGCCCCAGUCUGAUGUAUAGUGACUGAUUGGUACCCCUCUGAUCUUCA